rnacentral:rRNA from 1 species
UAAUAGCGUAUAUUAAAGUUGUUGCAGUUAAAAAGCUCGUAGUCGGAUGUCGGGCUCGGGCAGGCUGUCGGCUUCGGUCGGACGGCAGGCUCGGGUCUUUCUGCCUGAGGAUCCCGUUGCACUUAAUUGUGGGGCGUGGGGACGCAGGCCGUUUACUUUGAAAAAAUUAGAGUGUUCAAAGCAGGCCAACGCUUGAAUACAUUAGCAUGGAAUAAUGGAAUAGGACUUUGGUUCUAUUUUGUUGGUUUCUAGGACCGAAGUAAUGAUUAAUAGGGACAGUGGGGGCAUUAGUAUUUAAUUGUCAGAGGUGAAAUUCUUGGAUUUAUGAAAGACUAACUACUGCGAAAGCAUUUGCCAAGGAUGUUUUCACUGAUCAAGAACGAAAGUUAGGGGAUCGCAGAUGAUCAGAUACC